rnacentral:rRNA from 1 species
AACGAAGCUUGACGGAUGAUUUCUUCGGAAUGAAACCAGAUAUGACUUAGUGGCGGACGGGUGAGUAACACGUGAGCAACCUGCCUUUCAGAGGGGGAUAACGGCUGGAAACGGUCGCUAAUACCGCAUGAUGUGUUCGGAUGGCAUCAUCUGAACAUCAAAGAUUUAUCGCUGAAAGAUGGGCUCGCGUCUGAUUAGAUAGUUGGUGGGGUAACGGCCUACCAAGUCUACGAUCAGUAGCCGGACUGAGAGGUUGAACGGCCACAUUGGGACUGAGAUACGGCCCAGACUCCUACGGGAGGCAGCAGUGGGGAAUAUUGCACAAUGGGGGAAACCCUGAUGCAGCAACGCCGCGUGAAGGAUGACGGUUUUCGGAUUGUAAACUUCUCUUCUUAGUGACGAAGACAGUGACGGUAGCUAAGGAAUAAGCAUCGGCUAACUACGUGCCAGCAGCCGCGGUAAUACGUAGGAUGCAAGCGUUAUCCGGAUUUACUGGGUGUAAAGGGAGCGCAGGCGGGACUGCAAGUUGGAUGUGAAAUACCGUGGCUUAACCACGGAACUGCAUCCAAAACUGUAGUUCUUGAGUGAAGUAGAGGCAAGCGGAAUUCCGAGUGUAGCGGUGAAAUGCGUAGAUAUUCGGAGGAACACCAGUGGCGAAGGCGGCUUGCUGGGCUUUAACUGACGCUGAGGCUCGAAAGUGUGGGGAGCAAACAGGAUUAGAUACCCUGGUAGUCCACACUGUAAACGAUGAUAGCUAGGUGUGGGGGGUCUGACCCCUUCCGUGCCGGAGUUAACGCAAUAAGCUAUCCACCUGGGGAGUACGACCGCAAGGUUGCAACUCAAAUGAAUUGACGG